rnacentral:rRNA from 1 species
CGCGUAGGCGGCCUGAUAAGUCAGAUGUGAAAGUCCACGGCUCAACCGUGGAAGUGCAUUUGAAACUGUCCGGCUUGAGUAUCGGAGGGGAGUGUGGAAUUCCCGGUGUAGAGGUGAAAUUCGUAGAGAUCGGGAGGAACACCGGUGGCGAAGGCGACACUCUGGACGAAUACUGACGCUGAGGCGCGAAAGCGUGGGGAGCAAACA